rnacentral:rRNA from 1 species
AAAGUUUGAUCCUGGCUCASAUUGAACRCUGGCGGCAUGCCUUACAYAUGCAAGUCGAACGGUAACAGGGAGCUUGCUCCGCUGACGAGUGGCGAACGGGUGAGUAAUAUAUCGGAACAUACCCUAGAGUGGGGGAUAACGUAGCGAAAGUUACGCUAAUACCGCAUACGAACUAAGGUUGAAAGUGGGGGCUCGCAGGACCUCAUGCUCAUGGAGUGGCCGAUAUCUGAUUAGCUAGUUGGUGAGGUAAAGGCUCACCAAGGCGACGAUCAGUAGCUGGUUUGAGAGAACGACCAGCCACACUGGAACUGAGACACGGUCCAGACUCCUACGGGAGGCAGCAGUGGGGAAUUUUGGACAAUGGGGGCAACCCUGAUCCAGCAAUGCCGCGUGAGUGAAGAAGGCCUUCGGGUUGUGAAGCUCUUUUGUCAGGGAAGAAACGGUGAGGUCUAAUACACUUUACUAAUGACGGUACCUGAAGAAUAAGCACCGGCUAACUACGUGCCAGCAGCCGCGGUAAUACGUAGGGUGCAAGCGUUAAUCGGAAUUACUGGGCGUAAAGCGUGCGCAGGCGGUUAUAUAAGUCAGAUGUGAAAUCCCCGGGCUCAACCUGGGAACUGCAUUUGAGACUGUAUGGCUAGAGUGUGUCAGAGGGGGGUAGAAUUCCACGUGUAGCAGUGAAAUGCGUAGAUAUGUGGAGGAAUACCGAUGGCGAAGGCAGCCCCCUGGGAUAACACUGACGCUCAUGCACGAAAGCGUGGGGAGCAAACAGGAUUAGAUACCCUGGUAGUCCACGCCCUAAACGAUGUCUACUAGUUGUUGGGUCUUAAUUGACUUAGUAACGCAGCUAACGCGUGAAGUAGACCGCCUGGGGAGUACGGUCGCAAGAUUAAACUCAAAGGAAUUGACGGGGACCCGCACAGCGGKGAUGAUGUGAUUAAUUCGAUGCAACGCGAAAAACCUUACUACYCUUGAMAUGUACAGAUGCCGAAAAGAUUUGGCGGUGCUCGCAARAGACUGUAACACAGGUGCUGCAUGCUGUCGUCAGCUCGKGUCGGRUAUGUAGGUAGGUCGCACGAGSCACUUGCAUAGUGCUMAUUAGUGRCMCYUAUGAAACKGCGGUACAMACCGAAGAAAAGGUGGGAAUKAAAGUYA